UUUAUUGCAUAUAAUAUCUUGCCUAAAGGUGUUAUUAUAUGUAAUAUUUUUGGAAAAUGGCAUGAGAAAGUUAACGAACUUAUUUUGGUUUAGAAAUUUCCUUCUGCCCAAAGGUGUUGGUUAUUUCGAAAACUGAUGUAAUUUUGUUAACUAACUACGUGAUGUGUUUUAAGAGUACCUUAUAGCAUGUUGUAUUGUCAACCCAAAAGUGACUUUAUGAUGAUGCACCUAGGCUCUUACCGUAAUAAAAUUCAUAUGUUUCGAUUUAAAUUACGAAUUAUCUAAUUAAUUGCCCAUAUUAAUUAGUUGGAUAUUUCAUCAUCAUUUGAUUGCAUGCAUUAAGUUUGGAUGAUAUUAAGAGUGAUAUUUUAUGUUUCCACAGUUUAUAAUGCCUCAUCUCUUUCGAAUCAAUUGUCUGCUAUUGAAACAUUGACUGGGAAUAACUAUGUAAGAUGGAAACGAGACGUAGAAAUAGCACUUAGUCUUUUGGAUUUGGAUUUUGCAAUGGAGAAAAAGUUUGAAAAACCCACAGAUAAAAGUACCAUUGAAUAUAUAGCCGAGCAUGAAAAGUGGGAAAGGGCUAACAAACUGUGUUUGAAAAUCAUUAAGCGAUCGAUAUCUGAUUCCAUUCUAGGUGUCAUCCCUGAUAAUGAAAAUGCCAAAAGUUUUAUGGAUGCCAUAGGAGAAAAAUUUAUUGAGUCUGAUAAAGUCGAAACUGGGGAUCUGAUGGAUAAAUUGAUGAGCAUGAAAUAUGAAGGCACAAGUGGUGUUAGGGAACAUGUCAUGAAAAUGAUAAAUAUAUCAUCUAAGCUAAAAGCUCUUGACAUUCCCAUUGCGGAGCCUUUCCUGGUCUAUCAUGUUUUGAAUAGCCUUCCUAACAAGUUUAAUCAGUUUAAAGUUGCUUACAAUGCUUAGCGGUAUAAGUGGAAUUUGAAUGACCUCAUAGCAGUGUGUGCCCAAGAAGAGUAUAGGAUGCAUAGUGAAACUGUUGAAACUGUGCAAUUAACUUUUCAGCCAUCACAGAAUAAGGGGCCUUCUCAUAAUCAUAAACCUAAGUUUCGUAAGGGUAAUAAGUCUUACCGAAGUCAACAGAAUAAAAAUUUUAGUGGUCCUAAAGCAGUUAUAAAGAAAAAUGAUCAAUGCAAGUUCUGUAAAAAGAAGGGUCACUGGCAGAAAGACUGUUUUAAGUUCAAGACUUGGUUGGAAAAGAAGAAGAGUUCUUCAGGUAUUCCCUUGGCCUUAGUUUGUUUUGAGUCUUCUUUAGUAGAUGUACCUUUGAAUUCUUGGUGGUUAGACUCGGGAGCUAGUUUUCAUAUUGCGAAUUCCUUGCAGGGGUUCAUAAGCAAACGGAGGCCAAGUGAGAAUGAAGUAAGCUUGAGUGUUGCAAAUGGAUUCCAAGUGAAUGUUGAAUUCAUAGGAGUAGUGAAGUUAACUUUGGAGUCUGAUUUUUAUCUUAUUUUGGAAAAUACAGUUUAUGUACUGCAGAUGAGACGGAAUUUAAUUUCUAUACCAAAACUUGAUACUUGUG
rnacentral:lncRNA from 1 species